rnacentral:rRNA from 1 species
GGCUCAGAUUGAACGCUGGCGGAAUGCUUACACAUGCAAGUCGAACGGUAGAGGGGGCAACCCUUGAGAGUGGCGAACGGGUGAGUAAUAUAUCGGAACGUGCCCAGUCGUGGGGGAUAACGUAGCGAAAGUUACGCUAAUACCGCAUACGAUCUAAGGAUGAAAGCGGGGGAUCGCAAGACCUCGCGCGAUUGGAGCGGCCGAUAUCAGAUUAGGUAGUUGGUGAGGUAAAGGCUCACCAAGCCGACGAUCUGUAGCUGGUCUGAGAGGACGACCAGCCACACUGGGACUGAGACACGGCCCAGACUCCUACGGGAGGCAGCAGUGGGGAAUUUUGGACAAUGAGCGCAAGCCUGAUCCAGCAAUGCCGCGUGCAGGAUGAAGGCCUUCGGGUUGUAAACUGCUUUUGUACGGAACGAAACGGUGAGCUCUAAUACAGUUUGCUAAUGACGGUACCGUAAGAAUAAGCACCGGCUAACUACGUG